CCUACGGGUGGCAGCAGUGGGGACUAUUGCACAAUGGGGGAAACCCUGAUGCAGCGACGCCGCGUGAGCGAUGAAGGAUUUCGGUAUGUAAAGCUCUAUCAGCAGGGAAGCAAAUGACGGUACCUGACUAAGAAGCCCCGGCUAACUACGUGCCAGCAGCCGCGGUAAUACGUAGGGGGCAGGCGUUAUCCGGAUUUACUGGGUGUAAAGGGAGCGUAGACGGCGAUGCAAGACAGAUGUGAAAGCCCGGGGCUCAACCCCGGGACUGCAGUUGGAACUGUAUAGCUGGAGGGUCGGAGAGGCAGGCGGAAUUCCUAGUGUAGCGGUGAAAGGCGGAGAUAUUAGGAGGAACACCAGUGGCGAAGGCGGCCUGCUGGACGAUGACUGACGUUGAGGCUCGAAAGCGUGGGGAGCAAACAGGAGUAGAUACCCGGGUAGUC
rnacentral:rRNA from 1 species